AGACUUUCCAAUAUUUAUUCAAUACUGUGGCAAGGAUAAAUAUAAUUGUUGAAAGAAGGGAGUUACACAGAUCUACACUGACUGACUGUAGUUGACCAGAAGUUUGUAACAAGUCUGCCAUACAUCUGUGUAGAGAUUAUCUACAUGUAGUAAGUUUCUCAUAUCUUGAAAUAGGUCAUACAAGUUUGUACAUGGUAAGUUACUAGAAGGAAGUUAGGUCUCUGGCCAUCACCACCUGCAGAUGGUGAUCAUUUGAAUUCUAGACCAUGAGCAUGACAUGCUACCAGCUUGCCAGAAUUCAAACAAGUAUUCCUCUGGUUCUAUUGCACUGAUGUCAGGUCCCAGUAAUGAAAGGAGACAGAAGAGGUGAUUUGUACACAGGAAUAACAAUAGAAGUAUACACACGCUAUGGUAAGAAAUGAAAUCUAACAGCAAACAUUUAUUCAUUAUGACCAAGAGUUGGCUAGCAACUAGUUGAUCUGGUUAUAUACCGGUACAUACUGAAUACAAUUGUAGUUUGAAAAUAUUUUCUAAAAUCAAAUACAUACAUGGAUUGAAAAUGAUAUCUAUAUAUGUUCUGGUGCUGCCAAAUGUAGAAAACCCAAGUUGUUACAAUAAAUAAACGUCUCCAAAGAGACGACUCUGACCACAAGAUAGUUUGUGGACACACUAUGAUAUGUCCCAUCUAUUGAUCUCAAACAACUAAGGACUUGAACUUGAUGAUAACUUGCUGAAAGUGAAACUCCUGCCUAAUUUUUUAAAAAUAUUAAGAACAAGAAAGAAAUGUACAUUAACUUUUUUUAAAUAAAAAAAAAUGAAGUGAACUAAAGGCAACAAAGUAAUAUGCUAUAGCCAAAUCAGCCUACCAGCCUAGAAAUAAUGUAGGUAAUAAUAAUUAACAUUUAUUAAAGUAAAAGAUGAAUAAUUUAACUGUUUUUUUGUUUUUAU